rnacentral:rRNA from 1 species
GACAGAGGGGGCAAGCGUUGCUCGGAAUUACUGGGCGUAAAGGGCGCGUAGGCGGGAUGGCAAGUCGGUCGUGAAAUCCUUCGGCUCAACCGAAGAACGUCGAUCGAUACUGCUGUUCUUGAGGGUUGCAGAGGAGACUGGAAUUCCCGGUGUAGCGGUGAAAUGUGUAGAGAUCGGGAGGAAUACCGGUGGCGAAGGCGGCAUCCUGGACCGACAUUGACGCUGAGGAGCGAAAGCUAGGGGAGCAAACGGG